rnacentral:rRNA from 1 species
UACAGAGACUGCAAGCGUUAUUCGGAUUCACUGGGCGUAAAGGGUGCGCAGGCGGCCAAGUGUGUUAGGCGUGAAAGCCCGGGGCUUAACCCCGGAAUUGCACCUAAAAACUACAUGGCUAGAGCAUUGGAGAGGGUAGCGGAAUUCACGGUGUAGCAGUGAAAUGCGUAGAUAUCGUGAGGAACACCAGAGGCGAAGGCGGCUACCUGGACAAAUUGCUGACGCUCAGGCACGAAAGCGUGGGGAGCAAAAGGG